rnacentral:tRNA from 1 species
GCCGGGAUGGCAGAGCGGUAUUGCGCUGGCCUCGAGAGCCAGUGGGCUACGGCCUAUGGGGGUUCGAAUCCCUCUCCCGGCGCCA